rnacentral:lncRNA from 1 species
GUGGGGGGGACGCAGACCUAGUUACCCCAGGAUCUUCCGAGGCGGGGCAGGAGAAGGCCCACCCCCGAGGGCUGCUCCCCACCACCCCCCUUCGCCCAGCAUGUGAGUCAGAGGAAACCACCCACAGCUCAGCGGGGUUUAAUGAAAGGAAGAGAUUCAUUCUCCCUGGAGCGGAAUAGGCACUCGGUCUGGAAAGCCCCAGCGUUCAAG